CAAUCCCCUGCAUCUGCCACGGAAGAACAGAGAUCCCAACUAUCCAACCAUUCCCUUUCUUCACGGACAACUUCCAUGCGUUCCCAGCUCCCCUGUUCCAAUCUCAUCCUUCCGAGUCCCUAGCAGUGAGCUUCUCCCACGAAAUGCUCCACGUCCCAGCUUCAUCCCAUCCGCUAUCAUCUCCCAGCUCACGCGUUUCUUUUCCUCCACGUCCUUCCCAACUCCCGUGUUCCAAAGUCCACAGCCGGAACAGAGCCGAGACCCACGGACCAGCAUUUCGCAUCUCCCCUUGCAUCCCGACUCGGCCACACCCUCAACGUCUUCCACUAGAUCCCAGUCAAAAUAAGCUUUCCAGAUUUCCUAUCAUCUUUAUCCAAAGCCGAGACCCAUUCCCUGUUUCUGGAUCAUCUCCCAACCGGAUCCCCAGCUCCUUAUCCCACGGAUCAACCAAACUCCCGGAUUAAUCCCAGCGUCCAAGCCAAUCUAUUCAACAUCCUCAUCUCCCACGAAUCAAACCAACUUUCCUCCCAGCAUCUAGAUAUUCCGUUGCCAGCCGCCUCCAAUCCGCAACAAAUCUUCUCCACGCCUCCCC
rnacentral:lncRNA from 1 species